GGGCGGUUCGCUGCUUGUGACGUCGCGAGAAGUCCACUGAACCUUAUCAUUUAGAGGAAGGAGAAGUCGUAACAGAGGUUUCCGUAGGUGAACCUGCGGAAGGAUCAUUG
rnacentral:rRNA from 1 species